UACGGAGGGUGCAAGCGUUAUCCGGAUUCACUGGGUUUAAAGGGUGCGUAGGCGGAUAGGUAAGUCCGUGGUGAAAUCCUGCAGCUUAACUGCAGAACUGCCGUGGAUACUAUCUAUCUUGAAUGUCGUGGAGGUUAGCGGAAUAGGUCAUGUAGCGGUGAAAUGCUUAGAUAUGACAUAGAACACCCAUUGCGAAGGCAGCUAACUACGCGAUAAUUGACGCUGAUGCACGAAAGCGUGGGGAUCAAACAGG
rnacentral:rRNA from 1 species